GGCCAGUCGAACGACUCGGACUAUGGCGAGAAGUGGCAAACUGCUCAGUAACACGUAGCUAACCUACCCUCAGGACGGAGACAACCCCGGGAAACUGGGGUUAAUCCCUGAUAGGCGUGGAUUCCUGGAAUGGUGUCACGCCGAAACGUUAACACACCAUGUUUGUGUACACGCCUGAGGAUGGGGCUGCGGCCGAUCAGGCAGUUGGUGAGGUAACGGCUCACCAAACCUUUGACCGGUACGGGCCGUGAGAGCGGUAGCCCGGAGAUGGACACUGAGACAAGGGUCCAGGACCUACGGGUCGCAGCCGGUACGAAACCUCCACAAUGCACGCAAGUGCGAUGGGGUUACCUCGAGUGCCGCCUGAAGAAGGCGGCUUUUCCAUUGUGUAAUGAGCCGUGGGAAUAAGGGGGGGGCAAGACUGGUGUCAGCCGCCGCGGUAACACCAGCCCCCCGAGUGGUGGGGAUGUUUAUUUGGCCUAAAACGUCCGUAGCCAGCUAGGUAAAUCUCUCGUUAAAUCCAGCGUCCUAAGCGUUGGGCUGCGAGAGAGACUGCCAAGCUAGAGGGUGGGAGAGGUCAGCGGUAUUUCUGGGGUAGGGGCGAAAUCCAUUGAUCCCAGGAGGACCACCAGUGGCGAAGGCUGCUGACUAGAACACGCCUGACGGUGAGGGACGAAAGCUGGGGUAGCGAAUCGGAUUAGAUACCCGAGUAGUCCCAGCCGUAAACGAUGCAGGCUAGGUGUUGGGUUGGCCACGUGCCGACUCAGUGCCACAGGGAAGCCAUUAAGCCUGCUGCCUGGGGAGUACGGUCGCAAGGCUGAAACUUAAAGGAAUUGGCGGGGGAGCA
rnacentral:rRNA from 1 species